AUGUAUGCAGAUACUUUACAAAUCAAAUAUUUAAAAUAUAUGAAUGUGUGGAUUUUGCUUUUCCUAAGGUACGACUGUGAUAUGCGGGUCAUCAGGCUCUUGCGUGAGCGUGGCUUAGGCAACAGCCCCACGCGGGUGAUCAAGCAGCUGCGUGAAAACCACAGCGAGCGGUGGCUCCAUCGUCUGGCCCGGUACACCACCCAAUGUGUUGACUUCCUCAAUCAACCCGGGGUGAUACCAGUAAAAUUCCAGGAGCCCCCAGAGCCUUCAGUGGUGCCAAGCUGCAAGUGGUUGCUGACCGUGUACAGCCAAGACAUCCUGACAAGGCUAGAUGAAAUCCAUGCAAGGAUAACAUCCACCUAUGGCUCCAUCUUGAAGAUGGAUUCCACUAAAAAGAUCACCAAGAAGCUGGCUGGGACAGCGAGGGGAACGGGACUCUGGCUUACCUCUGUUGGCAACGAGUUUGGUCAGGUGCUCAUAAGUGUGCUGACAGCCCAGGAAGGAGCAGGACUGGACAUGAUGGUAGACGGUCUGGUGAAAAGAUACCAGCAGGCUGGUGUGAAUCCUCCUGCUGUGUUGUACGUGGACUGUGGGUGCUGCACCGAGGUGGGCGAGACCAAGCUGAAAACCAGAUUCAGAGGCUGGCCAGAUCUCAUGAUACGCUUGGACAUCUGGCAUUUUAUGCGCAGGAUUGCCUUGGGGUGUACAACUGAUGCCCAUCAGCUGUACCCCAUCUUCAUGUCACGGCUAUCAUCAUGCAUCUUUGAAUGAGAUGCAGCUGAUAUUUCUAUGUUUCGCAAAGCAAAGAGAGAGCUGUUGAUGUCCCAGGGUUGGCCUACGCUGACAGAUGAAGAUGUCAGCAAGCAUCUGACCAGGGAGGAGCUGGCUCUACAUUGCCGGAGGAGGACACGUGGAGAGGAGACUACCAUCCUUCUCCUUGAACGACUGCUUACAGAGCUCCUGAGCAGCAAGGGAAAUGACUCCCUGGGUGUUCCUCUCCUGGACCGAGAAAGGAUGGAGCAAACCUGGAGUGUCCAGAAGAAGCACAUCAAGUGUAUCCAAGACCCCCCUGGUGUUGCCCUCGGGAGCUUAACCAAGGGAGGUGUGCUUCUGAAGACAUGUGCCAGAGGCUCCACUUCUUUUGAAUCCUUUCAUUUACACCUUAACCAUUUCAUCCCACCUUAACCAUUUCAUUUGUCACACACACUGUGCAUAUGUAAAGUAAGAACAUUAAGUGUCUGUGUGUUUACCCCUCACUAAAAACUGUUGUCUGUUUACAAGGACCAGUGCAAACAGUCUGAACUUUCAGAUUUAUUUGCUGGAGGGUCUACACAGGUGGAACCAGGAUCAGGAGGCUGCUUCCCUGUCAUCGGAGCCAUCAGCUUUACGCAGCUACACAGGAGAACUUGUUCACUGUGUAAACAGCAAUUAUGAAAAGCUGUUUGGCAGGAAAGAGGUCCCCUCAUUUUGUCCACCUGCACGUAACACUGGUAAAAUAAUGUAUUAUCAUUAAUUAACUUGCAAUUUCUGUGUAAUCUCAGUCUAUAUUUUAUUUAAGCCUAUAAAGUCUACUGUAU
ensembl:lncRNA